rnacentral:misc_RNA from 1 species
GAUGAAGAACGUAGCGAAAUGCGAUAAGUAAUGUGAAUUGCAGAAUUCAGUGAAUCAUCGAAUCUUUGAACGCACAUUGCGCCCGCCAGUAUUCUGGCGAGCAUGCCUGUUCGAGCGUCAUUUCAACCAUCAAGCCCAAGGCUUGUGUUGGAGCCCUGCGGCUGCCGCAGCCUCCCAAAACCAGUGGCGGGCUCGCUAUCACACCGAGUGCAGUAGUUUACUCUUCGCUCAGGGCGUGUGGCGGGUGCUAGCCGUGAAACCCCCAACUUCUCAAGGUUGACCUCGGAUCAGGUAGGAAUACCCGCUGAACUUAAGCAUAUCAAUAAGCGGAGGA